rnacentral:rRNA from 1 species
AGAACGAACGCUGGCGGCAGGCUUAACACAUGCAAGUCGAACGCUCGACCUUCGGGUCGGGAGUGGCAGAAGGGUGAGUAACGCGUGGGAACCUACCUGGUGGUCUGGAAUAACUCGGGGAAACGCGAGCUAAUACCGGAUACGCCCUUGGCUUAGGCUUAGGGGAAAGAUUUAUCGCCAUUGGAUGGGCCCGCGUCGGAUUAGCUAGUUGGUGUGGUAACGGCGCACCAAGGCGACGAUCCCGUAGCUGGUCUGAGAGGAUGAUCAGCCACACUGGGACUGAGACACGGCCCAGACUCCUACGGGAGGCAGCAGUGGGGAAUAUUGGACAAUGGGCGCAAGCCUGAUCCAGCCAUGCCGCGUGAGUGAAGAAGGCCUUAGGUUGUAAAUCUCUUUCGGCGGGGAAGAGUAAUGACGGUACCGCAGAAGAAGCCGGCUAACUCCGUGCCAGCAGCCGC